rnacentral:rRNA from 1 species
UACGGAGGGUGCAAGCGUUAUCCGGAUUCACUGGGUUUAAAGGGCGCGUAGGCGGCCAUGCGUGUCUUUCGUGAAAUCCCUCGGCUUAACUGAGGACGUGCGGAAGAAACUGCAAGGCUUGAGUCCGGGAGAGGGGGGUGGAAUUCCCAGUGUAGCGGUGAAAUGCGUAGAUAUUGGGAGGAACACCGGUGGCGAAGGCGGCCCCCUGGACCGGUACUGACGCUGAGGCGCGAAAGCGUGGGUAGCAAACGGG